rfam:Desulfitibacter sp. BRH_c19 BRHa_1004747, whole genome shotgun sequence.
UUGAGCUGUAUGUCUUGAAAGGGACACGUACAGUUCUUAGGCGAGAAGGAGGGAGUAAUCCCUCCGACUUAGCCGAC